AAUGGUGGUGGUGGUGAUGUCCAUCACGUUCUAGAGUUAAAGAGAGGGAAAGAGAGAGAGAGAGAGACUCCCAUAUCGUAGAAGAGUAUUCCGUGUCAGUCCGGUUGCCUACCUCGGGCGCUGCUGAGAGCCACCCUCGCUCGUGUGGCGGACUCGCGUCCUCCCCCUCACCCCUUUUUCUCGCACUCGUUCGUUCGCUCGUUCUCUCUCUCUUUCUCUCUCUCUCUUUUCUCUCUAUCUUCGUUCCUCUAUAUGUUUCUCGCGCGCGCAGAAACCCAAAGCCGCUCGUUUAUAUCUUCCACUGGCAGGCGGUAGCAGUAGCAGCAGUAUCAGCAGUAGCACACCAGUCAGCACCAUCAGUAGUGAAAUCUCGACAGAUAGUGGUGAUAGGAUAGAUACGAGUGUAAAAUAUCGUAGAAAUAAGUGUGUUCAUACUCGACAUGCUAUACGAUUGUUCUUACCAGUGUUCAAAAGCUAUUACUAUUACGAAAACGACGAUUACGAGGA
rnacentral:lncRNA from 1 species